UACGAAAUGCAAGCAAGAGCCGAGGAACAGAUGCGUGGGCUUCAGGCUGAAAUCCACAGACUUGUGGAGCAGAAGAUGCUUUCUACCGCCGCCUAUUCUGCUGGAAGCCUCCUAGCCCCUGCACCCUCGGCCAAGUCCCAGACAGCAUCUCAGAAUUCCUGGACUCCUUUCUGCUGGUCACAAACAGGUCUCAAAUUCAAUUGAAGACAGCAGACCUCAAGCUGGCGAGAGACAAAGAACAGCCAGAACCAUCACCCUCAAGCUGCUGGAGCAGAUGUUGGAGGCUGCUGGCACAAGUAAGCAAGCCCCGGUGGCCUGAGGAACUCAUUGUCACUGGAUGCCGGUAACACACAGAGAGUGCCCAAGACGUAUUAGUCAAUGUGGCUGAAAAGCCAAACCUCCUUAGCACUUUAAAACACCUUGAAUCACAAACUGUUGCUGUCGACCCCAAGAGCAGCGGGCUAGUUUAGGCACCUAAGACUUUUAAUUACACAUGGCUGUUCUCUAUGGCAGGGAUUUGCACAGACAGGGUGUAUUCCUACGACCGCUACUGUGUGCAAUGCAGGCUGCUAAA